CAAGCAAAUCCCAUAAAGUUGUUCUCAGUUCGGAUUGUAGUCUGCAACUCGACUAUAUGAAGCUGGAAUCGCUAGUAAUCGUAGAUCAGCAUGCUACGGUGAAUACGUUCCCGGGUCUUGUACACACCGCCCGUCACACCACGAGAGUUUGUAACACCCGAAGCCGGUGGAGUAACCAUUUGGAGCUAGCCGUCGAAGGUGGGACAAAUGAUUGGGGUGAAGUCGUAACAAGGUAGCCGUAUCGGAAGGUGCGGCUGGAUCACCUCCUUU
rnacentral:rRNA from 1 species